CCGCUGCUGUCCUGACAGGGCGAAGUCCUGUCCAGGCGCACGUGAUGCUCCGCUCGCGGCAGCGGCCCGAAGGCCUGCACGCAUUUGCCAGCCGUCGCUUUGCCGUAAAAGGACUCAUUGUCCAGCGUCUCCAUAACGUGCUCCAACGCGCCUCCUGUGCCCAUGUAAAAGUCACUGUUUUUACUUGGCGGGCUCUUCAGGGCAAACUUCUCGCUCAGAAACUCCAUAAUCCUGGAAAGGCUGUCCGCGAGCUCUCCGGGGCGUGCGGAGGCUGGAGGGCGCGGAGGGAGGAGGGAGCAGUGGGCGGGAGUAGGGAGGGUCAGAGAGGAGGGAAAGGGGAAGCGAGACCUGCGACGCCAGGAGCUGCCCAGCUCCCAGACUCUUAAUACGUCCCGGCUGCAGAAGGGGCACCCGAAGUUGCUUUUAUAUCUUGAAACUCAGCUGGGCUCCUCCGGCAACCUCCCAGUCCUAAUGAAUAUGAAAAUAGGCAAGGACUAACUCCACCCCAGGCCCCCUCCUCCCCCACCCCACCCCCAUCUUCCCUCCUUACCCAGGGUAGGGCGCGUCCCCGGCCUAGUUCAGACAGACAGUUCCAUUUCAGACAAAUGCCAGGAGAGACAAGGACACCCAGAAUCGUAGUCGCCUCGACAGUGGGACUGGCAUUGCCGAGGAGCCUGGUUUCAAGAGUUGGGGCGGUGCCUUCGAAAAGAGUGUUGCAGAAGCUAGUGGCUCCGCGGACUGGGGUUGGACUCACAGUUGCGGACCCAAAACCCUUCCUUGGUCCAGCUGACCGGGAUGCUAGCGAAGAGGCCUUCCACAGCGGCUGCCCCUUUUCUCCGGGUUACGUUGGCAAUUACAGCAGAGCCUUAGUCACUUCGGGUGGGACCCUCAUUGACGCCCGACCUGGACACAGCUUGCGAGCAAAGAUCCCAGGCACAAUGUUCUGCACAACUGUUGCUUAGCACUGCCCCAAAGGCGGGGCUGCCAGUGAAAAAUGAAGAUUCCAUCCGACAGGACCUGAGAAAAAGUGUCAGGAGCAGCAGCCAUGUUCACCCGGUUCACCACAUUUCCUCCCCAAGAACGGACCCUUUGCUGAGCUACCACCAAUUGACACCGUUUUGCCUUUUAACGGGUUCUAUGAUAUUUUUAAUUGUUUUCUCCGGAGCCUUGAGAUAGCACCAUCAACAAUGAACUGACGAACUUCCAAGAGUGCGGGGGGGGGGGGGGGGGAGGUUAAAGAAAAGCAGGGACUGUCCUGGGCUCUAGCGGAAGGGGAGUCAGGGCUCUAAGAUGGGCAUUCUCCGAAGUGCGAGGCGUUGCUUGCUCCACCUUCUCUGGGGUGGCCUGCAAGUGGGGAGGAAAAACCCAGGAAAUGUGUGCAUCAAGUUUGCUUACAAAGAGAGAAGCUGUAUUCUUCUUGACCCUUUAUCAGAUUGUUCCUGGUGGAAGGUAGACUGAGUUGAGUUGGCCACUCAUUCCUUGUUAGCUUGGUCAGUUUGCAGGAUCUCCCUUUUAAAUCUAUCUUACCUCUAAAUAUUCUGAAAGUCUGCUUUGCCCUAAUAAACGCGAGAAAGAGGAAAGAAACAAACAACCUUUGAUGGGUCUUUCAAAUAUUCACAGCGGCAAGCGCUCCUAUGACUGAUGAAGAACUAUGCAGAGAAUUCUCAGUUAUAAACGUAGCUAUGUCAUGGAGCUUUGUCUGUCUGUUUAUAAAUAUGCGUUUUAGGAGCCCCAAAUUCCCUGAAAAACAUUCGGUGUCUUUUAAAUCAAAGACAUAUGAUACAAGCUCUCCAGCACUUGUAUACCAAUAGACUAGGUCCGAUUUAGGGGGAAACUUCUGUGUAGUCCGGGUCAACUGCAGCUUCGGAAGCCUUUUCCACCCCAUUACCCAAACCCACUUUUGACCGAAGUGGUUUCAGGGGUGGGGUCCAAGGUGUCACCCACCCACUUCAGAUCCCGGAAACCUCCUGAAAAUUCAAAUCUAUUACACGGAACCCCCUUGCGUUUUGUGACAUGUAACCACAUGAGCCCAUAACAGAGGCAACAGUUAAUGGCAAACUCCCAUAACGAAUGCAUAAUCUGCAGGUUUUGGCAAGAAGCUGGGUCUUUGGUUGCCAAGAGUUGCAUUAAAUAAAUUUUGAGGGGUUGAGAUAGAGUUUAUAGCAAUGACACAGCCCUAGCCAGUUGAGCAUUAAUAUUAAAUUUAGGAUACUAAUUAAGGCAAUAAUAAUUGAAUGGUUUCUGGAAAUCACAAAGAAGUGGAAUCGACUGGGAGGUCACUGCACCUGGGCUGCGCUGGCCUGAUGUUUUGGGACAUAACACCAAAUAUAGACUGAAAUACUUGGAUAAGUGCUCUCCUAUAUAUGUAGAACCAGCAUGCCACCCACUCAGUUUUUAAAAUUAGCUGCUACUUCUAGUUUUUGCACCAUCCUAACCCUUCCUGAUUUUUAACCACCUAAAGUAAGCGGUCAACUGGGAAGGGGGAAGAACCAGUUAAGUAUGAAGUAAGGUGGCUUUUUUUUUCCCUCUCAGCCCCAGCCUGUUAUUUCAAGCUUCCCACUUCACUUAACAGUUCUGCACAUACUUUGCACUUCACAAACCUUGUGAUCUAAAGUCAGGAUUCUCUUCCUUCUUUUUACUUAACCCAAUCUGUCAAAACUUUUUCUUAUCUGCUUUUUUUUUUCACGUUUGAAUUUUGAGGGUAGUGUAUCCACAGAGAUUAAGGGACAUUUCUUUUUUUUUAAGCCUGAAAGCAUGCCGGACAUCUCAGGAUUCCAGCCCUCUGGGAUCCCUGGGAGUUUCAUAGCCUUUGCAGGAGUCUCAGCACCUGCAGAGGACUUCAGGGUGGAGGACCAAGAGAUCUGGAGAGGGGUAGGAGGAGUCUUUGGGCUAAGGCCUUGGCUGUUUGCUCCUCUGGUGAUUAAGAUCUGUCUGGUCGGCUAAAGCAUUCCUCUGCUUACAAACACGGAGAGGGAAUUUCGUGGAGAAGAUUGCUCCCUUCGCAUGUCACACCUAAUAUUGUUCCUGCAGCUGGCAGUCUCCCAUACAGACAUGUGAUUUGGGU
rnacentral:lncRNA from 1 species